UACAGAGGUCCCAAGCGUUGUUCGGAUUCACUGGGCGUAAAGGGUGCGUAGGUGGCCAGGUAAGUUCGGUGUGAAAGCUCGGAGCUUAACUCCGAAAUGUCAUUGAAUACUAUCUGGCUUGAGGGUCGGAGGGGAGACUGGAAUUCUCGGUGUAGCAGUGAAAUGCGUAGAUAUCGAGAGGAACACCAGUGGCGAAGGCGAGUCUCUGGACGACUCCUGACACUGAGGCACGGAAAGCUAGGGGAGCAAACAGG
rnacentral:rRNA from 1 species